rnacentral:rRNA from 1 species
UGGGGAAUAUUGGACAAUGGGCGAAAGCCUGAUCCAGCCAUGCCGCGUGUGUGAAGAAGGCCUUUUGGUUGUAAAGCACUUUAAGCGAGGAGGAGGCUACUUAGAUUAAUACUCUAGGAUAGUGGACGUUAUUCGCAGAAUAAGCACCGGCUAACUCUGUGCCAGCAGCCGCGGUAAUACAGAGGGUGCGAGCGUUAAUCGGAUUUACUGGGCGUAAAGCGUGCGUAGGCGGCUUUUUAAGUCGGAUGUGAAAUCCCUGAGCUUAACUUAGGAAUUGCAUUCGAUACUGGGAAGCUAGAGUAUGGGAGAGGAUGGUAGAAUUCCAGGUGUAGCGGUGAAAUGCGUAGAGAUCUGGAGGAAUACCGAUGGCGAAGGCAGCCAUCUGGCCUAAUACUGACGCUGAGGUACGAAAGCAUGGGGAGCAAACAGG